rfam:Chlorocebus sabaeus isolate 1994-021 chromosome 12, whole genome shotgun sequence.
ACCGGGCGCGGUGGCUCAAGCCUGUAAUCCCAGCACUUUGGGAGGCCGAGACGGGCGGAUCACGAGGUCAGGAGAUCGAGAGCAUCCUGUCUAACACGGUGAAACCCCGUCUCUACUAAAAAAAAAAANNNNNNNNNNUUUUUGUUUUUUUUUUUUAGAAGGGACGGGGUUUCACCGUGUUAGACAGGAUGCUCUCGAUCUCCUGACCUCGUGAUCCACCCGCCUCGGC